rnacentral:lncRNA from 1 species
UUCCUCUCUCUUCUUUAAACAGAAUCUCGGAGGAGAAAGUCUGUAUGUAGCAUGGAUUUAAGAAGAAACGAAAAAUCAAAAGCUUUCCUAAAACCUCACUGGGGCUCGGUCAAGGUCACUCCAGCAAAGUCUGCAAGUUUCUUAUAGCUGGGGCCACUUGUCUCCCUGAGAUGUAUAAGACUCUCUGCUCAGGCUUCAGGGAACACAACCUCUGACCAGAAGAUAGCCC